CCGCAGCACAAUCAACUACACCUAAAGUAGUUGACCACAAAUCACAGAUCAUGAAAUGCAUGGAAGAUUCUGAGUUCCAAGAGAUGUUGAUUACAGUGGAUAGGGUCAUCAAUGAAAUUGGAGUGUGAUUUAUCAUUGUGAUUGUCACGGCGUUGAUAUCCUUAGCAAGGCAUCCGAAACCUUGGCUGCUAU